rnacentral:rRNA from 1 species
UACGUAGGGGGCUAGCGUUGUCCGGAAUCAUUGGGCGUAAAGAGCGUGUAGGCGGUCCGGUAAGUCCGCUGUGAAAGUCGGGGGCUCAACCCUCGAAUGCCGGUGGAUACUGUCGGGCUAGAGUACGGAAGAGGCAAGUGGAAUUCCUGGUGUAGCGGUGGAAUGCGCAGAUAUCAGGAGGAACACCCAUAGCGAAGGCAGCUUGCUGGGACGUUACUGACGCUAAGGCGCGAAAGCGUGGGGAGCAAACAGG